GAUGAACGCUGGCGGCGUGCCUAAUACAUGCAAGUCGAGCGAAUGGAUUAAGAGCUUGCUCUUAUGAAGUUAGCGGCGGACGGGUGAGUAACACGUGGGUAACCUGCCCAUAAGACUGGGAUAACUCCGGGAAACCGGGGCUAAUACCGGAUAACAUUUUGAACCGCAUGGUUCGAAAUUGAAAGGCGGCUUCGGCUGUCACUUAUGGAUGGACCCGCGUCGCAUUAGCUAGUUGGUGAGGUAACGGCUCACCAAGGCAACGAUGCGUAGCCGCACUGAGAGGGUGAUCGGCAACACUGGGACUGAGACACGGCCCAGACUCCUACGGGAGGCAGCAGUAGGGAAUCUUCCGCAAUGGACGAAAGUCUGACGGAGCAACGCCGCGUGAGUGAUGAAGGCUUUCGGGUCGUAAAACUCUGUUGUUAGGGAAGAACAAGUGCUAGUUGAAUAAGCUGGCACCUUGACGGUACCUAACCAGAAAGCCACGGCUAACUACGUGCCAGCCGCCGCGGUAA
rnacentral:rRNA from 1 species